UACGAAGGGGGCAAGCGUUGUUCGGAAUUACUGGGCGUAAAGAGCGCGUAGGCGGCUUAGCAAGUCGGGUGUGAAAUCCCGGAGCUCAACUCCGGAACUGCAUUCGAAACUGGUAGGCUCGAGUCCGGGAGAGGGGGGUGGAAUUCCCGGUGUAGAGGUGAAAUUCGUAGAUAUUGGGAGGAACACCGGUGGCGAAGGCGGCGCCCUGGUCCGGUACUGACGCUGAGGCGCGAAAGCGUGGGGAGCAAACAGG
rnacentral:rRNA from 1 species